rnacentral:rRNA from 1 species
UCGAACGUAAGAUGACUGUAGGUGAAAGCUUACAUCUCUUCGGAGCAUUUUACGAGGUGCUGCAUGGUUGUCGUCAGCUCGUGCCGUGAGGUGUCGGGGUUAAGUCCCAUAACGAGCGCAACCCCUACCUUUAGUUGCCAUCAGGUUAAGCUGGGGACUCUAAAGGAACUGCCUACGCAAGUAGUGAGGAAGGCGGGGAUGACGUCAAAUCAGCACGGCCCUUACGUCCAGGGCUACACACGUGCUACAAUGGCCGAUACAGAGGGCAGCUACCUGGUGACAGGAUGCAAAUCUCCAAAGUCGGUCUCAGUUCGGAUCGGAGUCUGCAACCCGACUCCGUGAAGUUGGAUUCGCUAGUAAUCGCGCAUCAGCCAUGGCGCGGUGAAUACGUUCCCGGGCCUU